GGAUGGGAUAGCGCAAACUGCCCGGGAAGGGAAACCAGCACUGUACAGACCUGAACAACGAAGAUGGCAUAUUUUGUUCAGGGAAUGGUGAAUUAAGUGUGGCAGGAAUGCUUUGUAGACACAGUAAUUUGCUUGUAUGGAAUUUUGCCUGAGAGACCUCAUUGCAGUUUCUGAUUUUUUGAUGUCUUCAUCCAUCACUGUCCUUGUCAAAUAGUUUGGAACAGGUAUAAUGAUCACAAUAACCCCAAGCAUAAUAUUUCGUUAAUUCUCACAGAAUCACAUGUAGGUGCCACAGUUAUCCCCAUUUUAUGAAUGGAGUGAUGAAAACCUUAGGAAUAAUGAAUGAUUUGCGCAGGCUCACCUGGAUAUUAAGACUGAGUCAAAUGUUGGG
rnacentral:lncRNA from 10 species